rnacentral:lncRNA from 1 species
AUUUUCUGGAGAAAUUAAAUUAUUAAAGAUCAGCCCUCUUCCUAAUAGAAUAUCAUAUAAGAUUUCUAGUCAUUGCUCUUAUUGUAUAGUGAGUAUUUAAUUUUCCAUAGGAAGAAAGAGUUUCAUUGUCAUUGAUUACUCUCACUGUUAAAAUGUUAAUUUUCUCUAAAGAGCUAUAUACUAAGUGCUUCUUAUUAUCAUGAAGAUUAUUCCUAAAGAAACAAGUGAUAAAUCUAUUCUAAGAAAAAUAAAAGCCAGGUGUCUUCUCAGUUGAUAAUAAUAUUUGUCACUUUAUUAUUUCUACUCUCAAAAACAGGUAGUGAUCUCUUUAUUCUGAUCCUGUUAGAAAAGAAAAGAAGCGGGAAUUUUAUUACAAUAUUUUGCUUUUUAUCUGAGUAGAGUUUUUCUCUUAGAACUAGAAUUAACACUUACGAAGUUAUCUUAGACUGAUUAGAACUCACUCCUGGUUAUCAUCAGAAAAGAGUUCCAAUGUUAUGAUUAAAAAUACCAUUACUUUCUGUCUCAGCUCUUAACUACCUGUUGAUGAUAUUUUUAGAAUUGAAGAUAAAAAGAUUUUUUAGGUCCCAAAGCAUCCCAUUUUAUGUAUGCAUGCAUAAUGAAAGUAAUUAGUCUUUUUGAAAUCUAAAACUUUAAAGUAUAGGGAUUAUUGCCUUUAGCAUUAAUUUACUGGACUGAUUAGUAAACCAGAGCUUAGAUAUCUGUCUAUAAUAAGGGGAAACAUUAAAUAUGGAACUACCCUGGUAGUUCUCUCUUGUUUGUUUGUUCUAAAUAAACAGAACUUUAGCUUUU